rnacentral:rRNA from 1 species
GACGAACGCUGGCGGCGUGCCUAAUACAUGCAAGUCGAACGAGAGCACCCGGUGCUUGCACUGGUCAAUCUAGUGGCGAACGGGUGAGUAACACGUGGGUAACCUGCCCAUCAGAGGGGGAUAACAUCCGGAAACGGAUGCUAAAACCGCAUAGGUCUUCGAACCGCAUGGUUUGAAGAGGAAAAGAGGCGCAAGCUUCUGCUGAUGGAUGGACCCGCGGUGCAUUAGCUAGUUGGUGAGGUAACGGCUCACCAAGGCCGGGAUGCAUAGCCGACCUGAGAGGGUGAUCGGCCACAUUGGGACUGAGACACGGCCCAAACUCCUACGGGAGGCAGCAGUAGGGAAUCUUCCGCAAUGGACGCAAGUCUGACGGAGCAACGCCGCGUGAGUGAAGAAGGUUUUCGGAUCGUAAAACUCUGUUGUUAGAGAAGAACAAGUGCUAGAGUAACUGUUAGCGCCUUGACGGUAUCUAACCAGAAAGCCACGGCUAACUACGUG